rnacentral:sRNA from 1 species
UGGAACAGAAAUAUUUAAGCAGGCCGAA